rnacentral:rRNA from 1 species
CCCUUAGAUGUCCUGGGCCGCACGCGCGCUACACUGAACGGAUCAGCGCGUUUUCCCUUCCCGAGAGGGACGGGUAACCUGCUGAACCCCGUUCGUGGUAGGGAUCGGGGCUUGCAAUUAUUCCCCGUGAACCAGGAAUGCCCAGUAAGUGCAAGUCAUAAGCUUGCGUUGAUUACGUCCCUGCCCUUUGUACACACCGCCCGUCGCUACUACCGAUUGAAUGGUCCGGUGAAGCGUUCGGACCGUGGCCUUUGGACGGUUCGCCGUCUGUUGGCUGCGGGAAGUUCGUUAAACCUUAUCAUUUAGAGGAAGGAGAAGUCGUANCA